rnacentral:rRNA from 1 species
UUAACCUACGGGAGGCAGCAGUGAGGGAUAUUGGUCAAUGGCCGAGAGGCUGAACCAGCCAAGUCGCGUGAGGGAAGACGGCCCUACGGGUUGUAAACCUCUUUUGUCGGGGAGCAAAGCGAGUCACGUGUGACUCAUUGAGAGUACCCGAAGAAAAAGCAUCGGCUAACUCCGUGCCAGCAGCCGCGGUAAUACGGAGGAUGCGAGCGUUAUCCGGAUUUAUUGGGUUUAAAGGGUGCGUAGGCGGUCCGUUAAGUCAGCGGUAAAAUUGCGGGGCUCAACCCCGUCGAGCCGUUGAAACUGGC